UCAGCCUCAUGGAACAGGGAGGUUUAGAGAAUCCUGGCAAAGCAAGAGGCGCUGUGCUAGCCAGCAGGUGGCUCAUCUGUAAAGUGGGCGGCAGCACCGUGAGGACCCAGCCAGGUGACCGAUCACAUGCAAGGUUCUGUUGGACUCACGAGCUGGUCACUGCCGCUGGUCCUGUCCCCUUUGUGCAGGAGACACGGAGGUAGGGGACCCGUUUGCCUGUGAGAACAAGCAGCUUGCUGAAUGGCCUUCCCAAUGACCUCUCAGCGUGUUUUAGCCCAGUCUUGUUUUGGUGAGAAACUGACUCCGAGAACUGAGUAGGCUGCUCUGAGGUCCCGCCCCCGUCGGGGCAGUGCC
rnacentral:lncRNA from 1 species